rnacentral:rRNA from 1 species
UGGGAACCUUCCCUAUGGUUCGGAAUAGCUCAGGGAAACUUGGGGUAAUGCCGGAUAAGCCCUUCGGGGAAAGAUUUAUCGCCAUUGGAUGGGCCCGCGUCGGAUUAGCUAGUUGGUGAGGUAAUGGCUCACCAAGGCGACGACGGGUAGCCGGCCUGAGAGGGUGACCGGCCACACUGGGACUGAGACACGGCCCAGACUCCUACGGGAGGCAG